UGUUAUUCCAUAGGUUAUCUUCAUCUCUAAGAUUAUUUGUAACUUUGAAAGUUUUGUUUCCUGCAAGGUGCUUUUCUUUCCUGUUGCUUUGGCCUCUGCCCUUCAUCUUCCUCAAAUAUUUGAUGAUCCUUAGCUCAUAUUUAGGAGUGCAGCAUUUUAAAAGCUGCUUGGGUGUUGUGUAUGGGGCUGAGGGAUGGGGAGGAUAGGGACUUGUCAACCAUGGGGUUCACUGCUAGGCAGUCAGGCUGUCUCAUUGAGGAAUCUCUUGAUGCAUUUCUCCUCUGCUUUGAGGUGAUCAGGUUCCCCAGAGAAGUGUUUUUUUUUUUUUUUUUUUCCAUUCUGCUGCCUGGAAGGUAAAACAACUUGGCUGCCAAUGUUCUGAGAUUCCAGUGUCGAGAGAAACCUGAGGUAUCUGAACAAGUAAAGUGCUUUUUAACUCCUUUGUUUUCAUCACAGUAUGCCUGUUCAAAGACCACCCUCCCUUACCUGCUCAGACAAGUUUCUGCCAGGAUGGGGAAGUUCAGUUGUCCUCUAGUACAGAGAGGAUAUGGAGGUUUAAUUGCUUAACCAAUCCUCCCCUUUACCUCUAUUUCCAGAGAGAUCAGGGCUGCCAGUUGCUUAAUAAGCCUUUGGAGGUUCUGUGAUACAAUUUGAAAUACCCUCACUGCUGACGGAAAAUUCCUUUCUUAUCUGCUUAGUUGAUUGCCAUUCGUUCAAAAGCUUUUGGCUUAUAUCAUUCAGUAGUUUCUUUUUUAUGCUAUUUGUUUUGGUUUUUGACUAUACCUUGUGGAAUCUUAGUUCUCUGACCAGGGAUCAAACCCAUGCCCACUGACAGUGAAAGUUGGAUUGCCAGUGGUUUGCUGGGGGAUUGCCUCCUGUCCAUUUUUUUUUUUUUUCCUUAACAUGGGUUAUUUUUAAACAACCAGUUUUUGCCAAGGACUGUUGCCAGCCCACUCUCCCUCUACCCCCUUUUUUUAAGCACUGGGUUUUAGUAAGAUUUCAGAAGAGACUAGAAGUGACAAGUAGCCUUUGUGUGUGUGUGUGUGUGUGUGUGUGUGUGUGUGUGUGUGUGUUGGGGGAACCGAGUGAGGCACACAAAGCACGCACCACGUUCCUCUUUCUGCCUUGGUGUGGUGACUGCUUCAUUGUUCCUUUGUUGUAUACAAGUUAGAAUAUAGUGUGUGGACACCUCUCCAGGUUCCAUUUAUGCUGAGAUAAUUUUGAAAGGUAAUCUUACUAAAAAGAGAAUCUGAUUAUCAGUUCUUUGUGUUCUGUAGUUUAUGUGCUUUGUUUUACUGCCUGGAAAAGUUCUUCGAAGUUGUUACCUUGCACUUUAAAAGUGCCGUAUGUGUGCGGCCUUGAGGUAUUGGAAUUUUAAAACAAGGACUGAUAGCACUGUCCAUCACGGUGUCUGUUUUUUCCUGAAUUGUAUAAUGAGUAUUUGGUUUAGAGUCCGAUUAACCAGAAAUUUAAAAAUCUGGAUCCAUGCAUAAUGGAUACACUGACAUCUCAGUAAAUUUAUUUGGGUGCAGUUUAUGUAAUAGUGCAAUUUAUCAGUGCACUAAUACUUAAGGAUAACUCUAGAUUUCAUAAAGACCGAUUGUUACUACCUACCUAUGAAACAGUUGAGAAGAAUGCAUACUGACUUACCCUUUCUUCACUACUGGCCAUAUUUAGGAGUCUAACCUGAAAUUUUGCAUUUGUAACCUGAUUCUAGCAAGAUGAAUAUCCAGCUGUGUAAAAUGAGUUGGCUUGGGCUAUAUAUUGUUGUCAAUUGCCUAUAAUCUGAAAAGUUGGGGGAAAUUUAUUAUAAUCUGUUGGUAUUUGAAAAGAAGCUUGCAAGCUGGUUAUACCAGAAUCAGUAUUUGGAGGUGUUGCCUGGAAUUCUGUAUUUCACAUACAUCCAGUGAUCUUAGCUGCACUAGAGUUGUAAGGACUUGCUUUAAGAUGGUUAGUUAAGCUUGCUGUUUUCAUAAGAAAUUUUUAUUUUUACUGCUAUCUUGUGUAAAGACAAAGGUUCAUGUUUCAUAAAACUUAACACCACUCAAGGAUUUUAAUCACAGACCCAAGGUCUAGUUUGAAAGAAAACCAGACUUGGCAUUCUAAAGAGUACGAGAUGACAGCAGCAGUGUACAAGCUGGGGAAGGAGUAGAUAGAGGUGGUGAGAGGAGGCGGUUCCUGAAUUCCUCGAGACAGUACGUUCUAUUGCCUGCAUAUUCCCCCCUUGGCUUGUCACUGAUCUCACUCAUCGAUCGCAUUUUUACAAAUUGUUAAUCAGCAACUCUUUAAAAUUGAGUGUUGUCUUGAGUUGGGCUAAUUACAUAUCGCCUUAUUUGUUCAUAAGCAUAUUUUAGAAUCUAAUGAAUGAAAUGUAAUUCCAACAGCCUCUGGUUAUAAAUGACUAUAGUAUAGUGCGUGCUAAGUUGCUUGAGUCAUUUCUGACUGUACUACCCUAUGGACUGUAGCCCGCCAGGCUCCUCUGUCCAUGGGAUUCUCCAGGCAUGAGUACUGGCAGUGGGUUGCCAUGCCCUUCUCUAGGGGAUCUUCCCGACCCAGGGAUUGAACCCACAUCUCUUUCGUCUCCUGCAUUGGCAGGCGAGUUCUUCAGCACCAGCACUGCCUGUAGCUUUGGAUAAAGACAAGGAUCCAAGGGACUGUGUAAUUUAGAAGACAGCACUGGGGUAAGUGCUAAGUGUUAAUUUUCCCCACUAAGCCCUAUAAAGGCAGAUAAUUCUGGAGGGACAGAAAGCAUGAAGAGGACUAGGUAAAACUAUUUUACUACUUAAAAAGGGUGCAAUGUUUUAUAGGAAUAAGAUCCUAAGUGAGCAAGGUGUUCCUUGUUAUAGCAGUCCAAUCCACUUCCUCCACUCCCACAGCCAGCGGUGUGUUCAUUUGUUUAUCCUCAUUCCUCUUAACUACGUUAGCCGAGUGGAGCCUGGCAAGUUAUCUAACUUGUGCUUCAGUUUUCUUACCUGUAAGAUGGGAAGAAUAUUAUGUACCUCAAGGUUGUGAGGAUUAAAUAAAAAAGUAUUUAAACAGUACUGGCACAUCAGUGGUCAGUAACAAUGGGACUGCCUUUACCUGUUGAGAUAACUUUGAUUUCCAGUAGGGUCCAAUUCCCUUCCCUCUUAAUGACUGGAGCCAGUGAUUAUCAUUAUCUUUCUUGUAUUUAUUUCCUGCCACACAACCACCAUUUAAGUAGAUGGUAUUUUAGCGUGUUAGGAUCUUUAUGGGUCUUGCCUUCUCAACUGAAACAUAAGCUUCCCUAAACAUCAGGACCGCUUCUUAAACUUGUGUGUACAGCCAGUCAUUUCUUAAAUAUUGGUUAUCUCAGUGUGGUGAAGUCGCUCAGUCGUGUCCGUUUCUUUGCCUAACUUAGAAUAAAUCCUAAUGUUCUAGGACUGUUUGGUGCUGAGUAGGAACUCUAUUUGAACCCACAGAUGAAAAAUCUAAGACUGUCUAAGUAUUUGUUUCUUUCUGCUUGGGUAUAUUGUGACAGAUGCAGCACAGAUAGCAGGGAAACACUCCUUACUAAACGAGUGCUUUCCUUCCUGGCAGCUUUCAAGAGUUGGUAAAAAAUACACAUCAUCUGGAAAACAAACUCUCAGACUGCCUGGGAAAACAGGCUUUCUGUGAGACUUGCUUCCUGGAACCAGAGUGAUGGCCUGUGCUUUCAACAGUGCAGUGGAGAGGAGGUUGCAAAGACGUGCAGUAACAUAGUAACAUGUAGCAUAAUGUUCAGGCUUCUGGGUCUUGGCAUCUCAGUAUGUAAAACUGAGGGCGGGGUGGUGGUUAGAUGAGGUGAUCUUUAAGUUCCAUGGCUUCAAGCAAUAAGUGUGCUAGUAUUCACUGGCGAUCAGUGAAGCAUUGUUUUAUGAAAUGGCAACCCACUCCAGUACUCUUGCCUGGAAAAUUCCAUGGAGAGAGGAGCCUGGUAGGCUACAGUCUAUGGGGUAGCAAAGAGUUGGACACGACUGAGCGACUUCACUUAACUAUACAUUGUUUUAUACAUAAUUAUUAUAAGUUGCAGAAAUAUUAGGUAAAUUUUACAGGGCUUUAAAAAUAAUGCUAGCAAAACUCAUGACAAUAUCUCUUCUUAUAAAACUUCAGAAUCCUAUUUCUACCCUCCAGAAACAACUACUAACCUGGCCCAAAGCAAAAUAGUACUGAUAUGCUGUCUGGCCCACAAUUAAGCAGGCAGAUAAUACACUCUGAGUUAAAUGUGGGUUUUGUGGCUAUAUACUUCAGUCAGUACUUGAAUCAGUAAAAUCUCAGCUGUCUAACUAUGUGAUCUUGAAUUUAACUUUGCUAUUUUCUCAUCUGCAAAGUAAAGCUAUGUCUAAGCCUAGACAGCAUAUUUAAAAGCAGAGACAUUACUUUGCUGACAAAGAUUCAUAUAGAAAAGCUAUGGUUUUUCCAGUAGUCAUUUACUGAUGUGAGAGUUGGACCAUAAAGAAGUCUGAGGGCUGAGGAACUGAUGCUUUUGAACUGUGGUGCUGGAGAAGACUCUUGAGAGUCCCUUGGACAGCAAGGAGAUCAAAGCUGUCAAAUUUUAAACCCAGAAUAUCAUUGGAAGGACUGAUGCUGAAGAUGAAGCUCCAAUACUUCGGCCAUCUGAUGUGAAGAGCCGACUCCCAGGAAAAGACUUCGAUGCUGGGAAAGAUUGAAGGCAGGAGAAGAAGGGCAUGACAGAGGAUGAGAUGGCUGGAUGGCAUCACUGACUCAGUGGACAUGCGUUCUGAGCAAACUCUAGGAGAUAGUGAAGGACAAGGAAGCCUGGCAUGCUGCAAGUCCAUGGGGUUGCAAAGAGUUGGACAUGACUUAGCAACUGAACAACAACAUUAAUGUAGCACUUAUGUGCUUAGAACUACUGUUUUAUGUGCUUUACGUUAUACUCACAAUAUAAUCGUUUUUACCCCUUCAUGUCAUUGAAACACCUCUCCCCCAAAGCACUUACUACAUUAUGUUGGGCUGUAUUCCCCCCCGCC
ensembl:lncRNA